rnacentral:lncRNA from 1 species
UCACCAAAUACAACGAAAGUAACUUCUAAAAAUUACUGCUUUAAAGCUCAAAAAUAUGCAUAAUCACGCCAUCAUAUCUCAUCCUCGAUGGUAAACAAAAGUAACUUCUAAAAAAUACUACCUAAAAGAUCAACAUGCAUAUAUAAUCACGAGUCUCCAUCCUCGUUACUAACGCCUGAAUCUUCAUCAUGCUCAUCCUCGACAUUAACAUCCUACAAAUAGUAGUACAUGGAAUGCAUGUCAAAUAUAUGAAGCGAUGCAAGCAUGCAUGUGCAUACGACAUUGAUACAUCAAGUUUUACGCUUAUUAUGAAAAGACAAAUCUGGUGAAUAUGCAUAUGAAGAAAAUAUGUGCAUAUAUGAGCAGGCAUGCUUAUUUAUGUGCCAAGAUAAAGAAUAAAAUGUCAAGUUACAUACCGAAUAUCCAACUCCUGCAGAGAAAACAUAUGAAUGCAGCUAUUUUUGAUAUCAUUUUCAAGGUCGACAAGUAAGCUGGCUGACUCCAGAUUAGCAACAACAGAGAAACAAAAAACAUUAGAGGUUCUUGCACCAUAGGACCAUUUUUUAAGUGAGGUGGCAGCUGACAACAUUCCUGAUUCUGAUGUUGAAUUCAUCAUAUUGAAAUUUGAAAUUUGAAAUUAAUCCCAGAAUUGCACCAUAUAUCGAGAGCGAAAAGUGUGCAAGAAAAGAAGAUAUAAUUAUAUAAACCUACAACAAAAAAAAACAACUACAAAAUGUAAUCAUCCACAUUAUUUUAGAGUAACCAAUUAAACAACCCAAUUAAAACAGUUUGGAUAGAAUUUUGCAUACAUAUGAACAUUAUAUACAUAUAAACAUGCACAUCCAACAUUUUAACAUCUACUGGGAAUGCCAGAAAAUACAAACUAAUCGACAUAGUUUGCCAAGAAGUUAAAGAAUCACAACCAAUAAUAUUUAGAUAUACUCAUGUUUUAACUGGUACUUGAGCAUAAAGUAUUUGUAUUUUGAGAUGACCCAAGAAACUAUUAGAAUUUAUCAAGAAUAAGAUGGUACCAACAAAAAGAACCGCAUUUUGAUGAUAAUUUCAAAGUACAAAAGAUAUGCUUCCCAUCAAUUAAUUUUCCUGAAUAAUCCAGUGCAACAGAUUAAGGGAAAAAAGAUCCAGCCCAUUAAAAGGAAUGCAUUAUCAAAGCAGCAACAAUCACAAUUGAAGUUCACGCAAUUGAAAAAAAUAAAAAUACAUUCUUUAUAUACAACUUGAAUUUACAGAGAAGUGAUUGUCCAAUUUGCAAAAAAUUGACUUACCUCAAAUCUAUUCAAUAUUGACUCAUCUGGGACAAUACAAGAUGACAAAGUAACAGAAGCACCAAGCUUAUCCAAAACAGAAAGAAUAUGAGGGUAAAAUGGCAACAACAAUUCCGUUUGUGCAGUCAUAUUUCUUUUUCAUGGUCAUAUUUCUUAUUGUUAUUAAGCUUCACUUUUUCAUGGUCAUAUUUCUUAUUGUUGAGCAGUCAAGAAAUACCCUAUUGUUUUCCGUUUGUGCGAAGAAAGUCAGAACAAAUGCACAAGUCAAUGUAGUGAUGUCAGAGAAGGCGUUAGUAAAGCAGUUGCAAAGAGAAUUGGCUAGAUUGGAGAGCGAAUAGAGGAGUUUACAAUCAAUUUCUACCAUGGGAAAUCCUGCAUCAUUACUAAAAGAGAAGGAAUGUCUCAUUGAAAAGGUGACGAAGUAGAUUCCUGACAUGCAACUUAAAUUCAUAAAGUGAUAUUUUAUGUUAAGUUCUACAACCAGGUGAUAUUUAGCUACACAAACACAAUGAUUAUUAGCCCCAAAAAGAACUCCAGCCAUGGCCCAACAGGCCUACUGCUGCUGUGACACGCUGCUGCCACUGGGCAGCAGCUAUUCCCCUCAUUCUUGACCCUUUUGUGCUAAGUGUUGAGUAUUACAUGAGUCAUAAGUAUUCGUAUUGCAGAGAAGUACUAUAGAUUACAGAAACAUAUUUAGUAGUUUAAUGUUUGCCCAACUAGAGCUCAAAGAGAGUCUCAACUGAUGCACAUGACUGCUGCUACCGUGGGUAGCAGCUGAACCACUAAUUUCAUACCAUUUUUGGUUUGAAUUUGAGUUUUCAUUACCAUUAUAUACUUUUAAACUCUUCAUUUAUCAGUAUAUGUAAGAUGUUCAGUCAUCCCAAUCUUAAGUUUUGCCAAAUAACUGACUUUAAUCUAAAACAGUCCACUUGGGACUUCUAUCAAGCAUGUGGUGUGCAAAAUUUUAUAUUACCAAUUUCAAAACUAUUGGUUUAUAUCAUAAACCCAUAUUAUUCUCCUUAUUACUCCACAGCCACUUAUCUCCUUGUGCCUAAAUUCAAUUCAUAGCAGUCAAUUACACAGUCACAAGCAUGUAUAAUCAAGUAAUUGACAAUCUAAUUAUUUUAUUUUCUUCAUAACAUGCAAUUCUUUUGAUAACCACAUAUUUAUUAGUGCAUAUUUAACAUCUUAAAGUAAAUACUUAGCAAAGAUGCAUUACCUUUCUAAGCUUUGAUUUCCGAAUUAGUUGGUUGCAACCCAAAUACUUCUGAGUUUCUCCUUACUUGAUAGUGUAUCCUUCCUCAGUUAUCAAUUAGGAAAACAAUCUAACAUGCAUCUAACAAUCAGGAAAACUAAAAAUUCUUCGCAUUACAAUAUCAUGAAAUAAGGACUUGAAUGUGAUGGUAAAAUGCAUAUUUUAC